UACGUAGGUGGCAAGCGUUGUCCGGAGUUAUUGGGCGUAAAGCGCGCGCAGGCGGUGCGGUAAGUCUCUGGUGAAAGCGCUCGGCUUAACUGGGCGAGGGCCGGGGAGACUGCCACGCUGGAGGGGAGCAGAGGCGAGUGGAAUUCCGGGUGUAGUGGUGAAAUGCGUAGAGAUCCGGAAGAACACCAGUGGCGAAGGCGGCCCGCUGGGCAGUGGCUGACGCUGAAGCGCGACAGCGUGGGGAGCAAACAGG
rnacentral:rRNA from 1 species